GGAGGAAGCAGGGGAUCGCAAGACCUUGCGCUUUUGGAGCGGCCGAUGCCUGAUUAGCUUGUUGGUGAGGUAAAAGCUCACCAAGGCUUCGAUCAGUAGCUGGUCUGAGAGGACGACCAGCCACACUGGGACUGAGACACGGCCCAGACUCCUACGGGAGGCAGCAGUGGGGAAUUUUGGACAAUGGGGGCAACCCUGAUCCAGCCAUGCCGCGUGAGUGAAGAAGGCCUUCGGGUUGUAAAGCUCUUUCAGCCGGAACGAAACGGUCACGGUUAAUACCCGUGACUACUGACGGUACCGGAAGAAGAAGCACCGGCUAACUACGUGCCAGCAGCCGCGGUAAUACGUAGGGUGCGAGCGUUAAUCGGAAUUACUGGGCGUAAAGCGUGCGCAGGUGGUUUUGUAAGUCAGAUGUGAAAUCCCCGGGCUUAACCUGGGAACUGCGUUUGAAACUACAAGGCUAG
rnacentral:rRNA from 1 species